rnacentral:rRNA from 1 species
GAUGAACGCUGGCGGCGUGCCUAAUACAUGCAAGUCGAGCGAACGGACGAGAAGCUUGCUUCUCUGAUGUUAGCGGCGGACGGGUGGGUAACACGUGGAUAACCUACCUAUAAGACUGGGAUAACUUCGGGAAACCGGAGCUAAUACCGGAUGAUAUUUUGAACCGCAUGGUUCAAAAGUGAAAGACGGUCUUGCUGUCACUUAUAGAUGGAUCCGCGCUGCAUUAGCUAGUUGGUAAGGUAACGGCUUACCAAGGCAACGGUGCAUAGCCGACCUGAGAGGGUGAUCGGCCACACUGGAACUGAGACACGGUCCAGACUCCUACGGGAGGCAGCAGUAGGGAAUCUUCCGCAAUGGGCGAAAGCCUGACGGAGCAACGCCGCGUGAGUGAUGAAGGUCUUCGGAUCGUAAAACUCUGUUAUUAGGGAAGAACAUAUGUGUAAGUAACUGUGCACAUCUUGACGGUACCUAAUCAGAAAGCCACGGCUAACUACGUG